rnacentral:rRNA from 1 species
AUACGAGGGGAGCAAGCGUUGUCCGGAUUUAUUGGGCGUAAAGGGCGUGUAGGCGGAUUGACAAGUCAGGUUUUAAAGAAUACGGCUCAACCGUAUCAAUGGGUCUGAUACUGUCAGUCUUGAAUUCGAGAGAGGGAAGCGGAAUUCCUGGUGUAGCGGUGAAAUGCCAUGAUAUCAGGAGGAACACCGGUGGCGAAGGCGGCUUCCUGGCUCGACAUUGACGCUGAGGCGCGAAAGCGUGGGUAGCGAACAGGAUUAGAAACCCCAGUAGUCC